GAUGAACGCUAGCGGCAGGCUUAAUACAUGCAAGUCGUGGGGCAGCAUGAGUGUAGCAAUACAUUUGAUGGCGACCGGCAAACGGGUGCGGAACACGUACACAACCUUCCUUCAAGUGGGGAAUAGCCCAGGGAAACUUGGAUUAAUACCCCGUAAUAUUAUGGAGUGGCAUCACUUUAUAAUUAUAGCUCCGGCGCUUGAUGAUGGGUGUGCGCCUGAUAGGUAGUUGGCGGGGUAACGGCCCACCAAGCCUUCGAUCAGUAACUGGUGUGAGAGCACGACCAGUCACACGGGCACUGAGACACGGGCCCGACUCCUACGGGAGGCAGCAGUAAGGAAUAUUGGUCAAUGGACGCAAGUCUGAACCAGCCAUGCCGCGUGGAGGAUGAAGGUCCUCUGGA
rnacentral:rRNA from 1 species